CGAUGAAGCAGAGCUUGCUCUGUGGAUUAGUGGCGAACGGGUGAGUAACACGUGAGUAACCUGCCCUUGACUCUGGAAUAAGCGUUGGAAACGACGUCUAAUACUGGAUACGAGCUUCAGCCGCAUGGCUAGGAGCUGGAAAGAAUUUCGGUCAAGGAUGGACUCGCGGCCUAUCAGGUAGUUGGUGAGGUAAUAGCUCACCAAGCCUACGACGGGUAGCCGGCCUGAGAGGGUGACCGGCCACACUGGAACUGAGACACGGUCCAGACUCCUACGGGAGGCAGCAGUGGGGAAUAUUGCACAAUGGGCGAAAGCCUGAUGCAGCAACGCCGCGUGAGGGACGACGGCCUUCGGGUUGUAAACCUCUUUUAGUAGGGAAGAAGCGAAAGUGACGGUACCUGCAGAAAAAGCACCGGCUAACUACGUGCCAGCAGCCGCGGUAAUACGUAGGGUGCAAGCGUUAUCCGGAAUUAUUGGGCGUAAAGAGCUCGUAGGCGGUUUGUCGCGUCUGCUGUGAAAACUGGAGGCUCAACCUCCAGCCUGCAGUGGGUACGGGCAGACUAGAGUGCGGUAGGGGAGAUUGGAAUUCCUGGUGUAGCGGUGGAAUGCGCAGAUAUCAGGAGGAACACCGAUGGCGAAGGCAGAUCUCUGGGCCGUAACUGACGCUGAGGAGCGAAAGCAUGGGGAGCGAACAGGAUUAGAUACCCUGGUAGUCCAUGCCGUAAACGUUGGGAACUAGAUGUAGGGACCAUUCCACGGUUUCUGUGUCGCAGCUAACGCAUUAAGUUCCCCGCCUGGGGAGUACGGCCGCAAGGCUAAAACUCAAAGGAAUUGACGGGGGCCCGCACAAGCGGCGGAGCAUGCGGAUUAAUUCGAUGCAACGCGAAGAACCUUACCAAGACUUGACAUAUACGAGAACGGGCUAGAAAUAGUUCACUCUUUGGACACUCGUAAACAGGUGGUGCAUGGUUGUCGUCAGCUCGUGUCGUGAGAUGUUGGGUUAAGUCCCGCAACGAGCGCAACCCUCGUUCUUUGUUGCCAGCACGUAAUGGUGG
rnacentral:rRNA from 1 species